rnacentral:lncRNA from 1 species
GACGACGCCACCUCCUGCUUCCACCUCCUGCUGCCUUCCCGUCCUCACUCGAGCGCCACGGAGACCCCCGCAACCCCUGGUCACUCUCCCCCUCUCUCCCGUGCCUAUCCCUCAUCUGUCCCCCUUCCCCGAGCACCACCGAGCGUUGCCGUCGCCGCCGCCCGCUGUUGCCGUGGCCACUGCCACUGUCUCGCCUCGCCGACGUGCCCCUGAGCUCCGACACGACCUCGUUAUCCUCCCCGCCGAGUGUAGCAACGCCGGACGCCCUGAAGCGACGUCCACACCAUCUUCUUCAACCUCGGCUCGCCGAGAUCGACCCCGCCGCUCCGUCCACUCCAGAGCUUCCCCGGGCCGGCCGAGCUGCUCAUCUGGACCGAUGUGAGCACCUGACCCUUCCCCCUUGCUCACCCCUCCCUUCUCGUUCGCUAGCUGCCGUCCCCGCGAACCCAAGCUCCGGCCGCCACCAUGGCCGGUGAGCUCCGUGCUUCUGAGCCCCUCCACUCCAACCAGUUGCUCCUGCGUGAUUCUGCUGCUCUUUACGUGCUGCCUAGAGCCUCCGUUCGCUCUCCCUCGAGCUGCAGCACGCGCCCGCGCAUAGCCGUGCUCCGGUCACCGCUGUUGUCAUCGCCGUCACCGCUGCAGUCUGACCCGGCACCGCCCACGGCCACCAAUCGACGCGCCUCCUCGCGCAGCAGCCGUAGAGACCAACCCCACCUCCUCUCGUCGCCGGAAUCGCCAGAACGAGUGCCGCCGCCGCAUCUGUGUGUCACCGGCGGUUAGCCGCCGACGUGGCCACUUAAUUAGUGCCUAAACACCCAGCUAAUCACUCCCUAGAGCCACUGCCAAGCGGGCCCCCGUGCCUAAAUUAAUUAGUUUAACUUCUCUGUUAAAUUAGUACUAAUCUGAGAGGGCCCCGUCUGUCACCUUUGACUUGGCCACGUCAGCAUUGACCGGGUCCCACGUGUCAGCCUCUGUAGCUAUCUCUGUGUCACUGACCAGUGGGCCCUACUGGUCAGGUUUGACCUGGACCAGCACGUUGACCUGCUGACAUCACUGAUACGUCAUGCUGACGCAGUAAAUAUUUUCUGGGAUUUAUAUAAAUCAGAAAUGAUUUAUUUAUUUCAGAAAAUAUCCAAAACUUCAAAAAUCCAUAGAAAUUAAUCUAUAACUCCAAAUGAAAUAAUUUAUAUAUGAAAAAUUAUCAGAAAAAUCCAAUCUAUUCAUCUGUACCAUUUUCAUGCAUGUUUGAGCAACUUAUGCCUGCUGAUCAGGUCAAAUCAAUUAAUGGCAUUUGAAUAAUCACAUAUGGAGUUUGAAUUUGAAUCUUGUAUUCAAACCAACUUCAUUUAAAUCGUUGUUAGUUGCAUUAGCUCAAAUCACAACAUAUUGCUAUGUCAUGAUCAUGCAUCAUAUUGUUGCAUUGCAUUGAUUGUGUUUCCUCUCUGUUGCCGGUAAUUGUUCCCCCUCGGUAGACGUGGUUCCGAUGAUGAGAUCGAUGACACCGAUGAAGAGCUAUACUAUCUUCAGAAGUGCCAGGCAAGUAAAACCCCCUUGUUCAUUCUGAUACAAUCCCACUCUCUCGAUUCUGCUCUCUUUUACUGCAUUAGGACAACAACGAUUCAACUAUUACAUGCUGCGGUAGUUGAACCCCUUUCCUCUGCAUGACCUGUCAUUGCCACAGUAAAUAGAUGAAACCCACUAGCAUGAGUAGGAGUUGUUUGAUCCCUGAUGUGCCUACUCAUUCAUGCUUGUUUGUCAUGCCUGCUAUUGCUUAGAGUUGUGUCAGGUCCGGUUCAUCGGGGAUGAAUUGGAGGUGUGUGAACAUGUCCUACUAUUGAGAGCUAAGUGUGUGAACACGACUUGGUAAAGGUAUCGGGUGAGAGGCCAUGUAGGAGUACAUGGUGGGUUGUCUCAUUGAAGCCGUCCUCAGGAACUGAGUUCUGUGUUUGUGAUCCAUGAACAGUUACUACCACACAUUGGGUUCCGAUAACUCGACCCCUCUCGACUUAUUAAUCAACUUGAUCUCUGUCCAGGAGUUGCAACUAGUUUCUGGUGUUUGUAGGUAGUGUUAGUAGUCUACCAAGUGGCACCUGGUACAGGUGGGCUUGGGACAGACUAGGCACCGUGGCCGGGUAUGCCAAGCGCCGCCCGUUUGGUGGGCUUGGAACCCUGUACACAUCGUUUGGGGCCGUGAGCGACACCCCGGCUGGAUCUCCUUGCGGAUGGAACCCGAAUAGGCGAUAAACCUGGACUAGAGACUUGUGUGGUUUGUCAGAUCGUGGCCGACUCCCUCGCCAGGCUUCCGCUUGAAGGUUGCCGAGAUACACGACGUGUACAUGGUGGUAAGUGGCGAGAGCGUGUGUGAAGAAGUACACCCCUGCAGGGUUAUAAAUGAUCUAUUCGAAUAGCCGUGUCCGCGGUAAAGGACUUAUGGGUUGCCUGUACAGUUCAUAGACAAGUGAAAGUGGAUACUCUAAAAUGCGCAAGGUAAGCGUGAGUACUAUGGAUGGCGUCCUCGUAGGGAGAUGGGAGCGGAUCCAUAGUGGUGUAUUGAUAUGGUGAAUAUGUGGACUCGUGUGCGCACCUCAAAAGAGUUAUUUGCAGUCGUAGUUCAGGAUGGCCACUGAGUCAAAGCUGGCUUGCUGCAGUCAAACUCCACCACCCCCUUUGUUGAUACUGAUGCAUAUGUAGCUAGUUCUGAUGUAAGUCUUGCUGGGUACAUUUGUACUCACGUUUGCCUAUUUUAUGUUUUGUAGAGAGACGUCAGUCUUGCUAGUAGUUCCGUGUGGACUUCGACGUUUAACUUGAUACCUCAGCUACGAUCUUGUGCCCUCGGCAGGAUCUGGUAGAUAGUCAGGCUUCUCAGCCUUUUUCAUUUGUAGAUGUCUAUACUCAGACAUGUUAAGCUUCCGCAUGUGCUUUGACUUGUAUGCUCUGAAUGUUGGGUCAUGAGACCCAUGUUUGUAAUAUCUCGGUCCUCGGAGCCUAAUGAAUAAAUACUUUGAGUCGUAGAGUUUUGUUGUGAUGCCAUGUUGUAUUUACACAUAUCGAGCAUAUUGUGU